CUAUCUCACACAUACAUGAAACUCAACCCGUAGGAUGAAUCUACGUUGUUCUAGUGGAUGUUGAGGAAAAUGUAGUUUGGUCAAUUCUAUCAGAAUGUCACUCACAGUGAAGAAAAUACAAAGAUGCCCUGCAUAAAAAAUGGAUUGCUAAGUAACUAGAAAGCUGAACAAGGAAGAUGAAAUGGAACCAGGGAACUAUGUACACUCACGGCAAAAGGAGCGGUCAUAUGAGAGGCUUUAAUAGAAGAGAGCUCACAGCAGACAGCAAAGAC